rnacentral:rRNA from 1 species
UACGUAGGGGGCUAGCGUUGUCCGGAAUCAUUGGGCGUAAAGAGCGUGUAGGCGGUCCGGUAAGUCCGUUGUGAAAGUCAGGGGGCUCAACCCUUGAAUGCCGGCGGAUACUGUCGGGCUAGAGUCCGGAAGAGGCAAGUGGAAUUCCUGGUGUAGCGGUGAAAUGCGCAGAUAUCAGGAGGAACACCUAUGGCGAAGGCAGCUCGCUGGGACGGUACUGACGCUGAGGCGCGAAAGCGUGGGGGAGCAAACAGG